CACAGUAACAUCUCCAGUUCUAAUGCAUUACCACAUGGAUUUUUCUAGCCUCUUCCUUUUGCUCAUCUAUACACUUCAACAGUGAGAAGGCUGACUCUGAUCAUCUGCCAUUCAUUUCCUUAAUUGUUCAAUUCCAGCAUACAUGUAUAGUA